GGACGAACGCUGCCGUCGUGCUUAACCCAUGCAAGUCGAACGGAAAGGCCCUGCUUUUGUGUGGUGCUCGAGUCGCGAACGGGUGAGUAACACGUUAGUAACCUGCCCAUUACUUUGUGAUAACUUCAGGAAACUGGGUCUAAUUCCUACUACGAGCUCCUUCUGCAUGGAGGGGGUUGGUAUGUUUCGGCUGUUGGGUAUGGACUCGCGGCUUAUCAGCUGCUUGGUGGGGUAGUGGCUUACCAAGGCUUUGACGGGUAGCCGGCAUGAGAGGGUGAACGGCCACAUUGGGACUGAGAUAGGGACCAGACUCCUACGGGAGGCAGUAGUGGCGAAUAUUGUCCAAUGAGAGGAAGCCUGAUGAAGCAGCGCUGCGUGCGGGAUGACGGCCUGCGGGUUGAAAAACGCUUUCGCCUGUGACGCAGCGUGAGUGACGGUAAUGGGUAAAGAAGCACCGGCUAACUACGUG
rnacentral:rRNA from 1 species